AUACGGAGGGUGCGAGCGUUAUCCGGAUUUAUUAGGUUUAAAGGGUGUGUAGGCGGGAGCCUAAGUCAGUGGUGAAAUCUCACAGCUUAACUGUGAAACUGCCAUUGAAACUGGGUUUCUUGAGUAUAGUUGAGGUAGGCGGAAUGCGUAAUGUAGCGGUGAAAUGCAUAGAUAUUACACAGAACACCGAUUGCGAAGGCAGCUUACUAAGCUAUUACUGACGCUGAUGCACGAAAGCGUGGGUAGCGAACAGGAUUAGAUACCCCGGUAGUCC
rnacentral:rRNA from 1 species